UACGUAGGGUCCGAGCGUUGUCCGGAAUUAUUGGGCGUAAAGGGCUCGUAGGCGGUUUGUUGCGUCGGGAGUGAAAACUUACAGCUUAACUGUGAGCGUGCUUCCGAUACGGGCAGACUUGAGGUAUUCAGGGGAGAACGGAAUUCCUGGUGUAGCGGUGAAAUGCGUAGAUAUCAAGAGGAACACCUGAGGUGAAGACGGGUUGCUGGGCCGACACUGACGCUGGAGCGCGAAAGCCAGGGGAGCAAACGGG
rnacentral:rRNA from 1 species